rnacentral:siRNA from 1 species
GGACUUGGCCAUUCCCGAAUUGCU